rnacentral:rRNA from 1 species
CGGGUGAGUAACACGUAGAUAACCUACCUAUAAGACUGGGAUAACUUCGGGAAACCGGAGCUAAUACCGGAUAAUAUAUUGAACCGCAUGGUUCAAUAGUGAAAGACGGUUUUGCUGUCACUUAUAGAUGGAUCCGCGCCGCAUUAGCUAGUUGGUAAGGUAACGGCUUACCAAGGCAACGAUGCGUAGCCGACCUGAGAGGGUGAUCGGCCACACUGGAGCUGAGACACGGUCCAG